CAAUCUUAUAUGCUAAAAUCUUUCACAGAAAAAAGGCCUCAGUCUUGCUCAAACACGAUCCACGACUAAUAACUAGCAGACUUAACAAAAGAAAGUAAACAGACUAACGGCCCAGAUACCCUGCGGCCCAAAUAAAUCAAGUUCUGUUAGACUUGGCCCAAGCCUGGCCCAACCAUUCCAUUUGUGGACCGUGACAUGUGCAUUCUCUUUCUCUCUGUAUUUUGCACUUCACUCACCCUCACAGAUUUUCCAUUCACACACACUCGUACACAAGAAACUCACAAGCUUUCUUACAGACUUGUGUCGUGCCAUCACAGCGUUCAACGUCGUUGCGAGUGGACUCUCUUCUCGCCGAUUUUCUUUCCCCAUUGCAAGCCGUGCGACACCACUAAAUUUUGAGGUUCUUUGGUCCUGCUAUUUUGUCCUACAGUGAUUAUUUUUCCUCUCCCACUGCAGAAAAAUCACCGCUGUUUGGAACUACAAAAAUUCCCUCACCGACGUAAGUCAUAGCUAGCUAACGCCCAAACAGUGUUGUUUUCGCUCUUUAAUUUUCACGAGCCACGCACCCGAACUUAGGUUGUGACAUUGAUAGAGCUCAGGUCCAAAGCUUAAGUAACUCUCUGCAAGAGUUAGGUAAGCAGGGUUCAAUUACUAGUUUUGCACAAAAAAAAAAAAAAAUGAAUGAGGUUGAUUUUUGGAAAAAUAUGCAUGUUUUUGUGUUAUGAAAAUAUAUUUGAAAACGACCUCAGAUGUGUUAUGCAUAUUCAUGAAAUAUGUAAUGAGAAAGAAUUUUCUAUCAUGACUGGUGUAAACAUGAGCUAAUUUUGUAUAUUCUAUUUUCUGAACUGAGAAAGAGCAAAUAUGAGAUUUUAAAAUUUUUGUUUUGAUUAAAUAAAGAUGCUCUGAUUCUGUUA